rnacentral:rRNA from 1 species
CAAGUCGAACGGGCCUGGGGGCAACUCCAGGUCAGUGGCGGACGGGUGCGUAACACGUGAGCAACAUGUCCGAUGGUGGGGGAUAGCCGGCCCAACGGCCGGGUAAUACCGCAUGCGGUCACCGGGGGCAUCCCUGGUGACGAAAGUGGGGGCAACCUCACGCCGACGGAGUGGCUCGCGGCCUAUCAGCUAGUUGGUGGGGUCAUGGCUCACCAAGGCGACGACGGGUAGCUGGUCUGAGAGGAUGACCAGCCACAUUGGGACUGAGACACGGCCCAGACUCCUACGGGAGGCAGCAGUGGGGAAUAUUGCGCAAUGGGCGAAUGCCUGACGCAGCGACGCCGCGUGUGGGAUGACGGCCUUCGGGUUGUAAACCGCUGUCGGAGGGGACGAAGGCCCGGCGGCGAAUAGUCGACCGGGAUUGACGGUACCCUCAAAGGAAGCACCGGCUAACUCCGUGCCAGCAGCCGCGGU